AUGAUAAAACCUGUAGUUUUGUUAUCAAAGGUUACGCAUUGUGUCUUGCUGCAGAUGAAAUUUCAAGAGAUUGUUCCUUCAAAUGCUGGAAAUGUUCUUGGUACCGAAGAUAACGUUCUGACAAAGAAGCGGGUAUCACUUAUUGAUCACCAGGUGAUGAAUAUAUUGGUGGGGAUGCAAGAAAUGUACCAUAUUUUUCACCAUUCCCAUAUGGCUAUCGUACUUCAACACCUAUGGAAGAAGAUGAUGAGCAGCCAAAUACUUCUAGUUCCUAUUGUAAAUAAAGCAAAAGAAGUUUUGUGGCAAAGAUGCAGACCGCAAGACCAAACUAAGCCUUCCAUGAGUCUCUCAUUUUUUGAAGCUCUCACAGAGGUUUGCUCAGGAGGCGCGCUAAGGGCGCGCCCCAGCCUCUAG
rnacentral:rRNA from 1 species